AGUUUGAAUUUCCUGCUGCUGAAGACUUUCAUGCUGAUCGACUUCAGGCAUCGUCCAUGAACCUGACAGGACAAAGAUGUUGCCUGUCUGGCCCUCAACCCCCGAGAAGCUCUUUCAAAGGACCCCUGCCGUACCUGUAGACGUUGAUGGGCUCAGGGUUGGAGCUCCAUACUCGGAGGCUUUCCUGGAUGACCUGCUGGAUUUUGGGGAGGUGCUGAGGGUCGGUGCAUGGCGGCCGCCGGCUGCAGCGUUUGUUUUCCAGUGCAACUUUUAACACGGGGAAGGCGAUGAUGAAACAACGCGCGCUGACGCAUCUUUGACAGCUCGGUGUGACGGCCGCGAAGGAGCAGGUGAGUCAAACGUUAUCAUUAGCGACAGGAAAAUGACAUCUGUUUUAGAAAAAUAGCGUCUGGGAAAAAAGAGGGAUAGCGACAAAGACAAGCACGCC